AGGGUUAUCGCCAAGCGGUAAGGCACAGGAUUUUGAUUCCUGCAUUCCAAGGUUCGAAUCCUUGUAGCCCUG
rnacentral:tRNA from 1 species